UACGAAGGGGUGCAAGCGUUACUCGGAAUUACUGGGCGUAAAAGCGUGCGUAGGUGGUUUUGUUAAGUCUGUUGUGAAAAGCCCUGGGCUCAACCUGGGAAUUGCAUUGGAUACUGGCAGGCUAGAGUGCGGUAGAGGAUGGCGGAAUUCCCGGUGUAGCAGUGAAAUGCGUAGAGAUCGGGAGGAACAUCUGUGGCGAAGGCGGCCAUCUGGACCAGCACUGACACUGAGGCACGAAAGCGUGGGGGAGCAAACAGG
rnacentral:rRNA from 1 species